GUGCAUUAUUUUUCCAACGACGUAUUUUUAUAUUAUAGUUAUUAUAUGGGAAGUUCGUGUGAAGACCCGUAGACGUGCUUUCGGCCAACAUCAAUACUGCGCACGAACACUGAUCACAUGCGAAAUGUGUAAAGAAUUGUCGUGAGGGAGAGAGAGCGCGAGACAGGAGAGAGCGUAUCAGCGCGCGCUGUCUCUGGGCCUGCUGCUGUCUGCGUGUGAACAGCGCCUCACCUGACUGACUGAAAAAAACACACCAAAUAAACACUGUAGUCUUUAUAGGUGUCCAUGGGUAUGCGAGCGACUGUGAUGGAGAAUGCCAAGAGUUUAGGGGGCUGCAUCUGAGACUGGCUCCAUGGAGUGUCCCCAUAACACGGUUGACGAAGGAGGUAUCCUGUGCUUCAGAUGUUAACGUAAAACAGCUCACGUGUUGAAGGUUUGGCCUGUGGUGGGAAGAUCAGGUUCUCGGCCUGCACAAAACUGCAAUGUCAAUCUCAGCGCUCAGCGCUCACAGCCUUGGACUAUGAUUUUUGGUCGUGACGGCUAUUCAUCAUGUCACUCAUAAGGAGAAUCUGUGACAUCUCCACAACAAAAUGGUACAAGUGACAAGCGUUUCGAACUAGAACAUGUGGAACAACUUUAGUUAUGGGCAUGAAAACAAAGAAUAUGUGUUCCUCCUUUUAAAAAUGGAAGACCUUUAUUUUCGAGUAGGGUUUGGGCCUUCGGGAGCAGCUUGUUUGUUUUGACUGGAGGUAGUAAUGUGGUAGAGGGAAACCAGGGAGACAU